rnacentral:rRNA from 1 species
UGCUUAACACAUGCAAGUCGAACGGGGUCCACCCUCCGGGAGAAGACCUAGUGGCGAACGGGUGAGUAACACGUGAGCAACCUGUCCCAAAGACCGGGAUAAGCCAGGGAAACUUGGUCUAAUACCGGAUGCCUUCAUCGAAUCUUCUGAUUUGAUGAAGAAAUGGAUUCCGCUUUGGGAGGGGCUCGCGGCCUAUCAGCUUGUUGGUGGGGUAACGGCCUACCAAGGCGUCGACGGGUAGCUGGUCUGAGAGGAUGAUCAGCCACACUGGGACUGAGACACGGCCCAGACUCCUACGGGAGGCAGCAGUGGGGAAUCUUGCGCAAUGGGCGAAAGCCUGACGCAGCAACGCCGCGUGAGGGUAAGGCUCUCGGGUUGUAAACCUC